rnacentral:lncRNA from 1 species
UAGGAUGUUGUUGUCGUGCUUGAACCUGGAAGCAUGCUCCACCGGGACUUGGGUUCGGUCGAGCAACAACUAGUCUGUUGAUGACGCCAGUCGCCGGCUGCUGUUCGGAGGCUAGCAAAAGGGCGAGAGGGUUUGCUAGUACGUAUAGAGCGUGUGCGAGUAAGUCGCUGGAAGCAGGGCAUUCUGGGCUAUCCAAAUUGCUCACCGGAGUUCAUCGCGACGGCUGAUCCGCAUGGUUUCGUUUCCGUGGCCAGAUCAUAUGCCAAAUCUGCUAUGGGUAAGGUUCUCUCCCUGCUGUUCUAUCUUGCAUAAACGUUGAGUAGAGUUCAUCGGAGGGGGGAAGAUGGGGUCGAGGCAGGUGUGGCGGCGAUCCACAGCCGCAUUGAGAGCCAUGUCGCGCUGCUUUCGCCCGAGAAUGGCCAGCCUGGGGUAGGCGAUGCGAGAGAAUAGGAGGGUGCAGGUCUGGUCGUUGGAUGAUAGUUCGUCAAUGUGAUUAGAGGUAUGCAUACCGGUUCGCUGGAUUGAAACCCGACCGUAGACUCUUGAUCCAACAUCGACGAUCACAUACCAGUUCGAUUUAAAGCUAAUCUAAUCAAGCCCGUUGACGAUAGAUCGGAUCCACGUUAUAACAGUUGUGGCACAUUUGUAAAACAGUCCUUGAGUUUUACGAAAUAGGAUCCACCGUCCAGUAAUUAAAUUGGGAUUUCACAGUUUAGCCCCUAGAAGUCACUUUUAGGUAUAAAAUUAAUAUCAAAUAACCUAGAAACUUGUAUAAUCCAUAUCUUACACAUUUUUGGAUUUGAUUUAACCCGUUCAAGUUGUGAUAGCUUCGUAAUUAAAAUGCCUACGUAUUAACAUCAUUAUUUUAUCAUAUAACAUUUUUUCAGAAAUGACUAACUAACUUGUCUAACCUAUGUUUAUUUAAGUAACUCCCCUAAUCUGAGUUAAUGUAGCAUUUUAAUUUGGCGCAUUUAUAACUUGUCUAAAAUAUAUCCAUAAUCAAGUUAUAGCUUCAAUUAAAGUAAAAUUAUCUAUGUUUCUAUAAAAUUUUCUCACAUGGUUUAUAAUCAACAUAGGAUAUAAUUUUAUUGCUUAAUCACCUAAAACUUCAAAAAAUCAUAACUCUUUAAUCGUAACUCUGAAUUUAGUUGUUCUCGAACCUAGGUUUUCAUUUCGAUGCGUAGAAUAUUAUUAUGUAGUUUGUUCUUAUAUUUGGUGUGAUGUUAAUUUUGUCUAUACCAUGUUUGUGUGUAUUGCUACGUUUAGCAGUGAGGACACGUGUCAUCUGAAGAGC